UACAGAGGGGCCAGCGUUAUUCGGAAUUAUUGGCGUAAAGGGCGCGUAGGCGGCCAUGCGUGUCUUCCGUGAAAUCCCUCGGGCUUAACCUGAGGACGUGCGGAAGAAACUGCAAGGCUCGAGUCCGGGAGAGGGGGGUGGAAUUCCCAGUGUAGCGGUGAAAUGCGUAGAUAUUGGGAGGAACACCGGUGGCGAAGGCGGCCCCCUGGACCGGUACUGACGCUGAGGCGCGGAAAGCGUGGGUACGCAAACGG
rnacentral:rRNA from 1 species